UGGGGAAUAUUGGACAAUGGGCGCAAGCCUGAUCCAGCAAUGCCGCGUGUGUGAAGAAGGCCUUCGGGUUGUAAAGCAUUUUUAUCAGGAGCGAAACGCUGUCGGCUAAUACCCGGCGGAACUGACGGUACCUGAGGAAUAAGCACCGGCUAACUUCGUGCCAGCAGCCGCGGUAAUACGAAGGGUGCAAGCGUUAAUCGGAAUUACUGGGCGUAAAGCGUGCGUAGGCGGUUUCUUAAGUCUGCUGUGAAAUCCCCGGGCUCAACCUGGGAAUGGCAGUGGAUACUGGGAGGCUAGAGUGUGUCAGAGGGUGGUGGAAUUCCCGGUGUAGCGGUGAAAUGCGUAGAGAUCGGGAGGAACAUCAGUGGCGAAGGCGGCCACCUGGGACAACACUGACGCUGAGGCACGAAAGCGUGGGGAGCAAACAGGAUUAGAUACCCUGGUAGUCCACGCCCUAAAGCGAUGCGAACUGGAUGUUGGUCUCAACUCGGAGAUCAGUGUCGAAGCUAACGCGUUAAGUUCGCCGCCUGGGGAGUACGGUCGCAAGACUGAAACUCAAAGGAAUUGAC
rnacentral:rRNA from 1 species